AGUGAACGCUGGCGGUAGGCCUAACACAUGCAAGUCGAACGGCAGCACAGUAAGAGCUUGCUCUUACGGGUGGCGAGUGGCGGACGGGUGAGGAAUACAUCGGAAUCUACUUUUUCGUGGGGGAUAACGUAGGGAAACUUACGCUAAUACCGCAUACGACCUACGGGUGAAAGCAGGGGAUCUUCGGACCUUUCGCGAUUGAAUGAGCCGAUGUCGGAUUAGCUAGUUGGCGGGGUAAAGGCCCACCAGGGCGACGAUCCGUAGCUGGUCUGAGAGGAUGAUCAGCCACACUGGAACUGAGACACGGUCCAGACUCCUACGGGAGGCAGCAGUGGGGAAUAUUGGACAAUGGGCGCAAGCCUGAUCCAGCCAUACCGCGUGGGUGAAGAAGGCCUUCGGGUUGUAAAGCCCUUUUGUUGGGAAAGAAAAGCAGCAGGUUAAUACCCCGCUGUUCUGACGGUACCCAAAGAAUAAGCACCGGCUAACUUCGUG
rnacentral:rRNA from 1 species